GCAACACCUGCCAUUCGACUUCUGGUAAUGUUUUGAAUUCCACUGUAUUUUAUCUCCAACAUCCUCUGGAAACUUCCAUUUUUUGUAUCAAAAACUUGGUUCUCCUCUGUCACUUCCCAGCGCAUUUUUUUCUCUUCUGCUUUUUUGAACAUCAAAUACGUAAUUUCAGAUCAGGCCAUGUAUGAUUAGGUUUUACUAACAUUGACUUUCAGGCUAGCUUAAUGUGUGCUGAUAUACACAACUGCUUUGGUAAGUGAGCUUGAUGCAAAUACUGACUUAUACUAUCCAUUAAUUUUAUUUUGGUUGGUGAGCUUGUUGUAAAUAUGGAUUCUACUGUUCAGUGCCUUUUUUUAUAUAAAAAAAAAACUUUUGAUUAUAAUUUAUGUUAUCUUGAUAUGUUUCAACUUGCGAACUGGACAUAAUCAUGGUCUGACUUGCUGGUUGGUAUUUAUGUGCUGUAUACUUUUUAUUCUUGCUAAAAGUUGUAGUUAAUUUAUUUGCAACAUUCCAUCUAUUUAAGCAUUUGGUUGUUUUCAUACAGCAUUAAUCUUUCUUAAUGGGCAAGAAGUAAUACAGUAGCCAGGCUGUUCUAAGGGCUUAGCAUGCCUUUAUAAUAGGCAAAAGUUUUUGUUUGUAUACUUGGAGAAAACUUUUCUUGGCAUUCAUUAAUUUGAUGAUAUAUAUUUGUAUAUCAUGAGUUCUUUUCUGACAGUGUCUGGCAUCUGGAUUGAGGACUUAUUUUGCAUCCUGUUGAUUGGGUUAAUUAUGUUUGUUUUAACUUACUCGUAUUGCACUUUAUUAUGCCUGAGUUGCACAUUUUGCCAGAGUUAGUUGUCAUUCAUUAUAAUUUUUAGGCUUGUCUUGUACCAUUAAUAUUUUUUUUUUCACUUUUUACUGCAUUAUAUGGCUCUGUAGAAAGAUUGUUAGAUCUUUAAUUGAUUUUCUCUAAAAGUCUUGUAGGAAGCUUGCAUUCCUUUGUUGGAAUUUUGAGGCACUUGUGCAUGAGAAUUGAGUGUGUGCCAUGCCCUUAUUGCUAUUCUUUUACUUGGGUGUGGAAUUACUAAAGAUUAAGCCAAUAUUAAACAAUAUAAAUUCUUGUUUUGUUUCCAUGCUAUAUAACAGAGCAUUUAGGAACUUUGUUUUCAUAAGCAGAACGUUUUAUUUUGUUACAGCUGAGGUUGUGGCAGGAUCAGCG
rnacentral:misc_RNA from 1 species